CGUUCACUUCUGGUAAAUAACCAACAGUUUCAUACACUCCACCCCUUCAUCCUGAUUAGAGAGCUCUCCUUGAAAAAUGAAGUAUACUUGAUGAAAUUCAAAGCAAAGGCAGAAGAGAGGAUGGGAGUGUACAUCAUGAGAAAUGCUGGGCUGAAUGAAGCACAAACUGGAAUCAAGAUUGCUGGGAGAAAUAUCAAUAGCCUCAGAUAUGGAGAUGAUAACACCCUUAUGGUAGAAAGUGAGGAAGAACUAAAGAGCCUCUUGUUGCAAGUGAAAGAGGUCAUUGCAGACUAUUGAGAAGAAUUUCCUGUGCUAUACACCAACAUUCCAAUAAGUGGUAAAUAACACGGAGGCUCAACAGAUCCUGUUUCUCCAGUUCCUGUUUGUUGCUGUUGCCUGCUAAGUAAAGUUAUUGAUAUGCUCUGAGCCUUUACCACACACAUGUCUCCUCAGUGCUCAUCUCCCUCCAAA